AUACGGAGGAUGCAAGCGUUGUCCGGAUUUAUUGGGUUUAAAGGGUGCGUAGGCGGUUUGCUAAGCGGGAGGUGAAAUGCCGGCGCUCAACGUCGGAAGUGCCUCCCGAACUGGUGGACUGGAAUGACUCUGCCGUGGGAGGAAUGUGUAGUGUAGCGGUGAAAUGCUUAGAGAUUACACAGAACACCGAUUGCGAAGGCAUCUCACGAAGGGUUGAUUGACGCUGAGGCACGAAAGCGUGGGGAUCAAACAGGAUUAGAUACCCUGGUAGUCCACGCAGUAAACGAUGAUGGCUAACCGCUGGUUUAUUCGGAUCAGUGGCCAAGCGAAAGCGAUAAGCCAUCCACCUGGGGAGUACGACCGCAAGGUUGAAACUCAAAGGAAUUGACGGGG
rnacentral:rRNA from 1 species